rnacentral:ribozyme from 15 species
GUUUUACAUCUUUUAUUCAUUUUUUUCUCUCUCUCUCUCUCACAGUCUGUAUACUACCCAAUUAGACCGCCAUUUUUCUGCAAUAGCAGCAUCAGCAUUCACAGAAUCACUCAAACAACACCCUACCGAAAUUCAUCUCUUUUUCGAGAAUUUUCAUCAAGAAGAAGAGGAUAGAAAAAAAAAAUCACCCCA